rnacentral:rRNA from 1 species
UACGGGGGGAGCAAGCGUUGUUCGGAUUUACUGGGCGUAAAGGGCGCGUAGGCGGUCAGCACAAGUCAGUUGUGAAAUCUCCGGGCUUAACUCGGAAAGGUCAACUGAUACUGUGCGACUAGAGUGCGGAAGGGGCAACUGGAAUUCUUGGUGUAGCGGUGAAAUGCGUAGAUAUCAAGAGGAACACCUGCGGCGAAGGCGGGUUGCUGGGCCGACACUGACGCUGAGGAGCGAAAGCGUGGGGAGCGAACAGG